UACGUAGGGGGCAAGCGUUGUCCGGAUUUAUUGGGCGUAAAGAGCGUGUAGGCGGCCAUACAGGUCCGUUGUGAAAACUGGAGGCUUAACCUCCAGACGUCGAUGGAAACCGUAUGGCUAGAGUCCGGAAGAGGAGAGUGGAAAUUCCUGGUGUAGCGGUGAAAUGCGGCAGAUAUCAGGAAGAACACCCGUGGCGAAGGCGGCUCUCUGGGACGGUACUGACGCUGAGGAGCGAAAGCGUGGGAGCAAACAGG
rnacentral:rRNA from 1 species